UACGUAGGUGGCAAGCGUUGUCCGGAUUUACUGGGCGUAAAGAGCGCGCAGGCGGUCGUUCAAGUCGCGUGUGAAAGCCCCCGGCUCAACUGGGGAGGGUCACGCGAUACUGAUCGACUCGAAGGCAGGAGAGGGUAGUGGAAUUCCCGGUGUAGUGGUGAAAUGCGUAGAUAUCGGGAGGAAUACCAGUGGCGAAGGCGACUACCUGGCCUGUUCUUGACGCUGAGGCGCGAAAGCUAGGGGAGCAAACGGG
rnacentral:rRNA from 1 species